UGAAGAAUAUGUUGCUGAAGUUGUGGUUGUUGACCUGGAAUCAAAAUCGUUUCAAUUUAUCUCGUUAUUUAAAUAACAAUUUGGACAAGUCGAUAUUCCAUAUCGAUAAAAUUAAGUUAACCUCUUCGAUACAAAUAUCAACUUUAAUCGAUAGUUACCAAAUGAAUAUAAGUAUAUAUAACAUUAUGAUAGUUAUAUUAAUAAUAUAAUUUUUUAUUUUUUGACUAAUCUUUCUAAGUUAUUUCUUUUAUUUAUUAGAAAGAAAUUUUAUAUAUUAUAAUAUGUUUAUUAUAAAAAAAUGUUUAAUAUGAAAGUGUUACACUUGCUCGGUCGUUAAAUAAUACAUAUUCUGCAACAAGUGUCAUAAAAGAGUUUAUGACGAUACAUUUUGAAUGUGAAACAUACCUGUUUGAUAUUGUUCUGGCAUCUUUUGAGGAAAGCUGUUUAAAAGAUCGUAAAGUUGAGUUGCUGAAAGCGGAGGGCCUGCAGGAGCUGGAUGACCAACAUGUAGAUCAGGUAUUUGUUGAUUUAUAAUAUAUGGAGUCUGUCCAGCGGUACCAGGGAAACCAACAUGCAGUGAACUAUGAAGAUUAGUUUGCAUUGGUAAAUUGGGCUGCCCGAGUUGAAUGUUUGUUCCGAUGAGACCUAUAUUCGACGCUGGAUGAUUAUUUAAAUAAACGUCAUUUGUUUUUACUUCGUAAUUAUGUUGCACUGGAGUGGGACUCGUUACAGUUUUCUGCGGUGUUAAACUUGUGCUAAUAGUAGCAAGAUCAAAAUUUGGUAAUAAGGAGCCUAUAAAACAAUGUAAAAUAAAUAUAUAUAAAAAAAAUAUUUUUAAUUAUUAAAAAAUUAAAUUUCUAAAUCAUUAAUUUUGUUACUUUAGAAUCUAACCAUGUGGAUUGAUUUUAUAAGUAGCAUCAGUUGUUUGUUGACGUGAAUUUUCUUCUAUAUUCACUUCAUUAUUGAAAGGUUUAUCCAUGGGACUCAGAUUAGGCGCAGGAAUCGUAUGAAUUGGUCCCUUGUCAUCAUCGACACCACCUCUAUGAGUCGGUGGCAAAACAGCAGCUUCCGGUCUAUAUUCAGGACUAUAUUCCGGCAUUUUAUUUACGGUAUGAAAUUCUUUAACUGGUGGACGUUGUGGUAAAACCGCAUGAUUAUUUAAAGAAGUUCUUAUUGGAAUCUGAUUUUUCCAAAUGGUAGAUGGCACAUUGAACAUCGGAGGUCGACGAAUUCUGGAAUAAGGGAUAGAUCGAGAAAAUGUCACGUUCGAUGAAAAAUAUAUUUUUUCUAUAUAUUCUCAAAGAUUCACCUAUAAUUCGAGGGUUUGUGAGCUAUUCGUUUCAAUGGGAAAUUUCCAUUGAUAUGCAUUGUAUUUCCCACUGAAAUUCGAUGAGUAAGUGGCCAUGAUUUCUUGAACAUCAAUUUAGGAGGCUGUGGAGGAGGCAAUGGUCUUCUAAUCUUAUAUCUAGCUUCGACAAGGCAGAUACACGUGAUCAAUAGCCAACACAUCCAAUUUGUCGUCUAAAAUUUUGUUAAUUGAUUUAUCUGUUAUGUUUCAAGUGAAGUUUGAAGAAAAAUUAAAUUAGAUCAAUUAUUAUAAUUAAAGUUUUACGGCAUAAAUUUCAUUAUUUAUUAAAACAUUACAAACGAAUUGUUUUUGUAUUCAACGCCAUUCGUAAUCUAUUAUGUUGAACUAUCGUAACAAUGACCGUGACAAUGGAUAUUCAUUGUGGCAUUAAGCAAUUAUAGUUUGAGAAACGCUGGCACUGGCAAUGAAACCGAAGAGAGAAGUGCUGUGAGUUGUUAGCAGGUAAAGUGGGACGGUGUGCUACAUCGAUGGUAGGAAAAGCGAGGGUAGUAAGAAGCCAGGUGAGGAGUGAGGUCGAAAAGAAAAUAGUCGAACCUGGAAAUAAUGAUCCAAACCGAUGGAUUGAGAGAUGAUGACCGCGGAUGCAACAAGUUGUAUCGUAACGAUUAUGAUUCGUUUUCGCUCGAAUUGCAUUUCCGCCGAAAAGGAAUUCGAUGACAGGAAAGUCGAUUUGCGAUUGUAUCAAAGGCCCUUUGCGAGUCGACAGAUGGACAGAACGAUCGAAGACCGGUCAAACGCCGUUUCUCUCCAUAUCCUGCUACUGGAUUCCCUCGUGAGGAUAUACCUGUGUGCGUGGAUACGCACGAACCAACAUGUGUGAUCCAGUGACCCACUAUAUUCAUCGGUAGCUACAAAAUUUCAAUCUAUGGAUAAAAUUGAAGAUAUAAAGAAAGAUUGGAAUAAAACAAAAUCAAUUUAAAACAAAAAAAACAAUAUCAGAUUCAUUUAUUAAUAUUCUAUUUAUACAAAAGUAUAUACAUUACGAUGACUAAUUAGAACUAUAUCGCGUUACAAAUAUUACGAUAUCUAUAAUUAUAAAUUCUGAAGAGCGUUAAAAAAGAGGAAGGAAGGUUAAACUAGUUACUCUCAUUGUUAUGGCCUCCUUCAUUGCAUAAAAGUUUCUCGAGCUUCAUUUGCAUUUGUACGCAUAAUGAAUUCGUUAUAUACUUUCAUACACAACAUUCAUCUUCUUCUUAAGAAUUAAUAAUCAAUAAGCAUCAUAUAAAAAGCUCUAAAAACAAACUAGACACAAAAAUUGUACCUUAAUGUUGCAAUCAUACACAAAAAAAAAAAAAAGAAAAAGAAAAAAACUUAUUAGCGAUUCAACAUAUAUCACAAGAUAAAAUCAACUAUAAUGAGUAUCCUCUACAUUGACUCAUGCUUGUAACUCAAAAUUCAACAUCAUUCAUCGUUUUUUAAUUUACACGUUGGACCGCUUUCUUUUUCCAGAAUAAUCCCAAGAAGAUUCGUCCAUGAAUGAUUUCCGUUGAAUCCAUCCAUGAAAUUUCUUAGUCUUCUUUUGUAACGAGGCGAAAGCCGCAACACGGAUGGAUACAUAUAUACGUAGGUAGAUAAAUUAUGCCUAGCUAAUUCUCAAUUGAGUAAUAUAACACACCCACUUAAUUCUUUUUCCACUCACUUUAGUUUCAAAUUUUAAAGUUAAUUCUUUCUGUGUUUAGUACGAUAAUAUCGAUGUUUUUUAAAUCCAUUGUGCGGGUAAUAAUGCGCAUAAGAGUAAACCACUGGAACAUAAAAUAUUGAAUUUAAUAUAUAUAAUUUUUGUGAAUUAUCACAAAAGAAAGACAUGGUGUUCAUUUAACUAUAAAAAGCAAAGAAAAGCACAACUAAACACAUAUUGUGGCCAAAGACACACAAGAUGCCAAAUAUCAUGCAGAUAUUAUAAAACCAAGUGAUACAACUAUUAAAAGAUAAAGUUAAAUAUGGGCGAUUCAGACAUCAAACAUAUAAAGAUACAGGUUUAAAAUUCCAUUAUUGAUCGUAACAUAAUUCAAACAAACAAAAAAAUUAUUUCUUUCGUAUUAUUUUUAAUUUAACACAAUUAAUCACGUGCAAAGUGUUCACGGUAGUCUCAUACGGUGAACAAAUUCGUUUAUGGAUCUUCUUCUCUGUCCACUACUUUUUCUCUGAUACAAUCCAUGCAUGUUGAAAUUAGUGAAAGGUUGAAUCAAUCCCUGAUUUUGCCAAUAUGGAGUCAGUAGUGGU